CCUCUGCUUCUGCGGAGAUCCGAAGGGCUGGGGGCGGAGCGCGGGCCGCCGACCGAGUGGCUGCGCCCGAGAGCCAGUCCUGGGUUCAGCAGCGAAAAGGACGUUACUUUCCAAAGUGCCCUCCCGUGGAUGCCUAGAAUUACACGGUUCGCGGCAAACUGCCCCAUGAGGCUACUUCAUCUGAACAGGGGGUAGGAAUGGCUUAGAGACCAAUGCGGGCGGCUCCCGCUGGCGCUGUCUGUGUGGGGGCCGGUCCCCGGGAGCCCGGCCCCCACCUGGGCCCUGGGCUGCGUCCUUCCUCAGCAGGUGACGGAGGAAGGCGACCGGCGACUCGUGCAUCCAGUAAGGAGUGCUUCGCCUCCCAGCCGCGUCCCUGCCCGGCUCAACAGACUUUGAAAAGUCUCUGCGCUUCGCCGAACCGCGUUUUCUUUGUGACAAGCCGUAGAUUCCAGAAGGUGUAGGUGGAUUGAUUCAAGAAGAAAAAUACUAGCACAAAAGAGAAGAUUUUUUUUUUUCCCCAAAAGUAGAAUUCAUUUCAUGAUUAGCUCAAGUUUGGAUGCUUGCUAAAUGCCCGGCACUCUUCUGUCUACCUCACGCGUGUCAACCCAUUCCAUCCUCACAACACCUGUAUUAUUCGUAGGCAGGGUACAGAGGCAGAGUUUAAGCGACUGAUGCAAGGUCACACAGCUAAUAAGUGGUCGGAUCAAGACCUGAACGCCGGCAAAUCUAGUUUGAGAAUAGGUGCUCUGUACCAUUACAACAGUUGUAUGCAUCUCUUUUCCCUGGGAGCUCAACACACAGAGAAUUGAAGGAAGAUAGAUGGGGAAAACACAGAUCAGAAGAAAAUGAAUCAUGAAGAACAUUUGAAAUAGUUAUUAAGCUUAUGUAAUUGAAAUCUGAUGCUGUUCUCAAAUAUUCAUAAUAGAAACACUAAUGUUUUAUAUAUGGGCAGGUAACGGUCUGAUCAACCUUGAUGUUUGAAGUAAUGAUGUCAGAAAGCCAACUGAGCCUCCUGAGAAAGUGUUUGUGGUUUGCUUUAUUUCCCUGUGCUAAUAUUCCUUGACCAAAAACAAUCUCAAGGUUUCUAAAGGUGGCCAGAAUAUCCAGCCUGCUUUCUUUGAAGGGGGAAAUAUUUCCAUUUUGAGAAGAUGAAGUAGACGUUUUCUUGGCUGCAUAUUUGAUAAUGUUUCUUUACUGGAAAUACCCACAUUUCUUCUUCCUAAACCAGAUUUCUACAUUUUUUUCCCCUAAAAGAGGCCAUUGAUACUUACCUCCCCUCCUUUCUAUGUAAUGAAAAAGAAGAGGGCAAAUAUUCUCAGCUCUUUCACUCUUUCACGUAUCUAGAAGCCAAUCUAGGAUUCAAGUCCAGUACUCCCUACUCCUCAUCCAGUUCUGCCACUCAACCACAUGUGUUUCUUUCUCUUACACACAGGCUCUUUUUGGCCACCAGUAAACACACUGACCUUUGAAAUAUGGAAAGAAAAGUGCUUUGAAAUAAAACUGGCACAAACAGCGGUUAGACAGCCGUCAUCUGGAGGCCGAAACAAAGAGGGGCAUAGUGUUCAAGCUGUCUUCAUAAUUACAUGAAGCAGUUAUCACUCGAGCCCCAGUCUGAGCAUUACCCCCCAAACAAACAGCGGAGGUUUGAGAAAGCACAUAGGCUACUUUGUUGCUCUAGCAUACUGAGGGGUGGGAAGUCCCCCAGCUGAAAAAUCACAUGUGGCUGGGACUGUUUUCCAGAGCUCCAGGCUCUUUCCUUUCUUCCUUCCCCAUUAACCCCUCUGCUCUCCUUGGCAAAGGCCCUCAGGUGAGGUAAGUGCCAAUUAACAACAAAGAGCUUGAUGUAUUUCAAGUUUAUGACUUAGAGCUAGGUUCUCAUGAAAUAGAUUCUUCCCUGGGCCAGGAGCCUUGAGGUGCAGAGAGCAAGGAUUCAAAGUCUGACUGAAAUUUAGGUUCAUUUCUGCUACUGCCCUAAAAGUGAUUUCUCUUUUGGGGGUUUGCUUUUGAAAGCCAGGUAAACGGUCCCCAGGAAGAGGCAUUUGUGACUGAAAACUUUGACUGCAAAGAUAACUGGAGCAGAAGGCUUAGCGAAUUGGGGUUUUGGAAAAAGGGGUCUUAAAUUUCUCAUGAGUCUGUUGGAUGAGACAUUCAUUCAUUGGAUGGAGAAUAAAGACAGCCAGACUUGAGAAUAAAUAGGAUAAAUAGGAGAGAUGAAAAUAUCUAAUCCAAAGUAUCUCCAAAGCCUUUUCCAGCUUUCAAAUUUAGAUGUGAUUUUCUAUCCUAGAAAUGGUUUCAGUCAUGUUCUAAUCUUUCGAGUGUUAUCACAUCAAUUUGUAAAAAAAUAUUUUCAUGACUUGUUCUCAAGCCACAAAGAUCUGAAAUCUGACCAAUAAAAUGAUAUGUUUUGACAUCUUA